AAAAUUUUAAGUUAUAAUUAAACUUUAAACUUUCAAAGUUUAUAAAAUAAAUGAUUUAUAAAUUUUA
rnacentral:tRNA from 1 species